CCUACGGGUGGCAGCAGUGAGGAAUAUUGGUCAAUGGUCGCAAGACUGAACCAGCCAUGCCGCGUGCAGGAUGACGGUCCUAUGGAUUGUAAACUGCUUUUGUACGGGAAGAAACACUCCUACGUGUAGGGGCUUGACGGUACCGUAAGAAUAAGGAUCGGCUAACUCCGUGCCAGCAGCCGCGGUAAUACGGAGGAUCCGAGCGUUAUCCGGAAUCAUUGGGUUUAAAGGGUCCGUAGGCGGCCCUGUAAGUCAGCGGUGAAAUCUCCCGGCUCAACCGGGAAACUGCCGUUGAUACUGCAGGGCUUGAAUUGCCGGGAAGUAACUAGAAUAUGUAGUGUAGCGGUGAAAUGCUUAGAUAUUACAUGGAAUACCGAUUGCGAAGGCAGGUUACUACCGGCGUAUUGACGCUGAUGGACGAAAGCGUGGGGAGCGAACAG
rnacentral:rRNA from 1 species